rnacentral:rRNA from 1 species
CCUACGGGAGGCAGCAGUGAGGAAUAUUGGUCAAUGGGCGCGAGCCUGAACCAGCCAAGUAGCGUGAAGGAUGACUGCCCUACGGGUUGUAAACUUCUUUUAUAAAGGAAUAAAGUGAGGCACGUGUGCCUUUUUGUACGUACUUUAUGAAUAAGGAUCGGCUAACUCCGUGCCAGCAGCCGCGGUAAUACGGAGGAUCCGAGCGUUAUCCGGAUUGAUUGGGUGUAAAGGGAGCGUAGAUGGGUUGGUAAGUCAGUUGUGAAUGUUUGCGGCUCAACCGUAAAAUUGCAAUUGAUACUGGCUGCCUUGAGUACAGGUGAGGUAGGCGGAAUUCGUGGUGUAGCGGUGAAAUGCUUAGAUAUCACGAGGAACUCCGAUGGCGAAGGCAGAUUACUAAACUGCCACUGACACUGAUGCGCGAAAGUGUGGGUAUCAAACAGGAUUAGAUACCCGAGUAGUC